UACGGAGGGUGCAAGCGUUAUCCGGAAUCAUUGGGUUUAAAGAGUCUGUAGGCGGCUAGAUAAGUCAGUGGUGAAAGGUUCGGGCUCAACCCGAACAGUGCCAUUGAUACUGUUUAGCUUGAGUUACCCAGAAGCAGAUAGAAUGAGUAGUGUAGCGGUGAAAUGCUUAGAUAUUACUCAGAAUACCGAUUGCGUAGGCAGUCUGCUAGAGGUACACUGACGCUGAGAGACGAAAGCGUGGGUAGCGAACAGG
rnacentral:rRNA from 1 species